rnacentral:rRNA from 1 species
AUGAAGACAUACUUUCAGCAACAAAUUUUUUUCUCGGAUUCCAGCUUGCUUGGAGGUGGAGGUUUUGGCAAAGUUUACAAGGGCACACUGGAAGGUGGAAAUGAAGUUGCUGUCAAGAGGCUUAGUAAGAGUUCUGGACAAGGUAUGGUGGAGUUCAAAAAUGAAGUAGUUCUCAUUGCAAAACUGCAGCAUAAGAACCUAGUCAGACUUCUCGGCUGCUGCAUUCAUGAAGAUGAGAAGUUAUUGAUCUACGAGUACUUAGCUAAUAAAAGUUUGGAUGCCUUUAUUUUUGAUUUUGGUAUGGCAAGAAUCUUUGGUGCAAACCAGAAUCAUGCUAACACAACCCGGGUCGUCGGAACAUAUGUGUUUUGUACAUUCCUUGCUAACUUGUUGAAUGUUUUAAAUAAUGGUUAUAUGUCCCCUGAAUAUGCAAUGGGAGGUGCAUUUUCUAUGAAAUCAGACACUUAUAGCUUUGGGGUUCUUCUCUUGGAGAUUGUUAGUGGCAUGAAGAUUAGCUCACCUCAGCUCAACAUGGAAUUUUGUAGCCUUAUAUCUUAUGCCUGGAGAUUAUGGGAAGAUGAAAAAUAUACCGAACUGGUGGACUCCUUCAUUGUUGCGAGCUGCCCACUUCAUGAGGUUGCACAGUGCAUUCAUGUGGGACUCUUGUGUGUCCAAGACCAUCCAAAUGAUAGACCACUAAUGUCCUCAGUUAUGUUUAUGUUGGAGAAUGAAAGUGCAGUGCUUGCACCUCCAAAGCAUCCUGUAUACUUUGCUCUAGGUAAUUAUGAAGGUGAAGAAGCCAGGGAGAAAAUGAGUUCCACAAAUGACAUGAGUAUGACAACGCUCAAGGGUUGUUAG